GACGUAGGGUCCAAGCGUUGUCCGGAUUUACUGGGCGUAAAGAGCGCGUAGGCGGUCCGUUAAGUGUAGAGUGAAAGCUCCGGGCUCAACUCGGAAAUUGCUCUGCAUACUGGCGGACUCGAGGACGGAAGAGGUUCGUGGAAUUCCUGGUGUAGCGGUGAAAUGCGUAGAUAUCAGGAGGAACACCCAUGGCGAAGGCAGCGAACUGGUCCGUAUCUGACGCUGAGGCGCGAAAGCGUGGGUAGCAAACAGG
rnacentral:rRNA from 1 species